CGAGUAGGCUGUAGAGCAAGUCCAAGGUGGAAUCCUAUGGCUCAACCAUAGAAUUGCCUUGGAAACUGUUUUACUUGAGUCAGUGAGGGGAGGGCAGAAUUCCUAGUGUAGCGGUGAAAUGCGUAGAUAUUAGGAGGAAGGCCUGUGGCGAAGGCGGCCCUCUGGCACUGAACUGACGCUGAGGCGCGAAAGCGUGGGUAGCAAACA
rnacentral:rRNA from 1 species